rnacentral:rRNA from 1 species
CGCGUAGGUGGUUCAGCAAGUUGGAGGUGAAAUCCCCGGGCUCAACCUGGGAACUGCCUCCAAAACUACUGAGCUAGAGUACGGUAGAGGGUAGUGGAAUUUCCUGUGUAGCGGUGAAAUGCGUAGAUAUAGGAAGGAACACCAGUGGCGAAGGCGACUACCUGGACUGAUACUGACACUGAGAUGCGAAAGCGUGGGGAGCAAACA